UAGUUUGCGUUAAAUUGCUAGCACACUGCUUUCUGUAGCUAGAGCCAGUUUAUCAUUCUGUGCUAACCAUUUAACACACUUGACUGCCGAGUUUCUAGCAAGCUGGUUAUGUAUCCUACGUUGUAUCAUAGCUAGCUAUUAAGCGUGCUGCUUACUUAAUUAGCCACUCCGUUUUGCUGACUAAUCAGGCAAGUUGCUGCUGGGUCUCUCUGCUUCGUAUUGCUUUGAGCUGCAGUGCCAAGAACUUCCUGUCCAGGUGCACCAAAGCGAGUGAAAUCAUCAGCUGCUUUAAAGAUGGUGGCAGAGUGAAUCAUUAAGGACAAGAAGGAUUUGGGGAGCUGAAAGCGCAUUAGCGUGCGCCACAACUCAUCGGAGGACUGGAACGUUGGAUUCUCCCAUAAAACUCAAAGAUGGAGAGGGAGCGAACAGGGUGAUUCUGGCGACGGUGUGCGCUUCACAGCCUCGCUGAGGUUUAAAGACUCACAAAUGUGUCAGGUUCAGUUAGAAAUGCAAAGCGCUGGAAAAUUCUCAGCACGGCGGUUGCCCCAGCCUGAGAUAAAUUUAAGUUGAUGUGCGUUAUCAUGUCGUUGAUUUCAUUACAAAAGCAAAGUGGACGCCGCGCGUAAAUCGUGUCCAUCUCUCGUCAUCACACCACUCUGAAAACAGCAAGACAAUCGGCCUAUAUCCAGGAGUUACACGACUCACACAUGAAGAGCGAGGUGGUGAUGGGAUAAUCAGCAAGCAACUCCCAGCGCAAGGAACGCAACAAAGGGAGUCCCCCACUGUAGUUGGUUGAACGGUGGAAGCUGGCCGCGGAACUGGAGACUCUACCCUAGGGGGACUGUAUUUAGUACCCAGGAGAAAUUGAAGCACCAGUCUUCCCAUGUGCAGUCUGCUCCUCUCUGCACAUUCACCUUAGCCAAGGCAGAGUGCAAGCCAUGCUGUGACUCCAGGGAUUUCUGGGGGGGUGUGGGACACAACAAGUCUCACCCUGC